UACGUAGGCAGCAAGCGUUGUUCGGAAUUACUAGGCGUAAAGAGUGUGUAGGCGGUGCUCCAAGUCUGGUGUGAAAUCUCCCGGCUUAACUGGGAGGGUGCAUUAGAAACUGGAAUGCUAGAGGAUGGGAGAGGUAAGCGCAAUUCCUGGUGUAGCGGUGAAAUGCGUAGAUAUCAGGAGGAACACCUGUGGUGUAGACAGCUUACUGGACCAUUUCUGACGCUGAGACACGAAAGCGUGGGUAGCAAACAGG
rnacentral:rRNA from 1 species